rnacentral:rRNA from 1 species
CCUACGGGUGGCAGCAGUGAGGAAUAUUGGUCAAUGGGCGGGAGCCUGAACCAGCCAAGUCGCGUGAGGGAAGACGGUCCUAUGGAUUGUAAACCUCUUUAGGCGGGGAGCAAUGCCGGGCACGUGUGCCCGGAGGGAGAGUACCCGCAGAAUAAGCAUCGGCUAACUCCGUGCCAGCAGCCGCGGUAAUACGGAGGAUGCGAGCGUUAUCCGGAUUUAUUGGGUUUAAAGGGUGCGUAGGCGGAUUUUUAAGUCAGCGGUAAAAUGUCCGGGCUCAACCCGGGCCGGCCGUUGAAACUGGGGAUCUUGAGUGGGCGAGAAGUAUGCGGAAUGCGUGGUGUAGCGGUGAAAUGCAUAGAUAUCACACAGAACACCGAUUGCGAAGGCAUCUCACGAAUCCGCGAUUGACGCUGAUGCACGAAAGCGUGGGUAUCAAACAGGAUUAGAUACCCCUGUAGUC